GACGUAGGGGGCGAGCGUUGUCCGGAUUCAUUGGGCGUAAAGCGCGUGUAGGCGGCUUGGUAAGUCCGUUCUGAAAGCCCGGGGCUCAACCCCGGGAGGCGGAUGGAUACUGUCAAGCUUGAGUCCGGAAGAGGCGAGUGGAAUUCCCGGUGUAGCGGUGAAAUGCGCAGAUAUCGGGAGGAACACCUAUGGCGAAGGCAGCUCGCUGGGACGUUACUGACGCUGAGACGCGAAAGCGUGGGGAGCAAACAGG
rnacentral:rRNA from 1 species